GCUACUGCGUGGAGAAUUACCAGAAGGCAGGCACGAAGGGGAAGAGGAAGACCGAGCAGAAGGCUGAUGUAAUAUUGCAAGUAAAAAAUCAAGGCUACUGAUAGUGGAAAUGGAGAAAAGGGUAAAUAAAAAAUGUAUCCUGGAGCUAUAAUUUCUAUUUACACAAAUGCUUGUAUAUUUAUAUAUAUUUAUUUUAUCCAGGAGAUACAAUUUAUGUGUAUCUUACAGAUAGAGCUACUGGAUGAGUUCGAGGGGUGUGUAAUCCAGGAAUGUGUAUUUGGUGCCCUCUAUUGAGCAGGGUUAACACCAGCUAAUGGGGUAGAGAUGAGCUUGCGUGGGAAGGCAGGAUCAAGCAUACAGUUGCGUUAACUUUGACAUCUGUGAUAUAGCUGAGCGGCGAUUUCAAGAAUUCAGCCAGAUACACAAGCAUGGUUGUCAGAGGAGGGUCCUGGACUGAAAAUACAUCUUCAAGAGAAUGAAGAGGAUUGUAUUAGCGGACUUGAGCUAUCCUAACAAAAUAUCACAGACUGGGUGACUUAAACAACAGAAAAAAGUUUAUUUUCUCACAGUUCUGGUGGCUGGAAGUCUGAGCUAAAGGUGUUCAUAUGACUGUUUUUCUCUGAGGCUUCUCUCCUUGGCCUGCAGAUGGCUACUUUCCCUCUGUGUCCUCAUAUGGCCUCGCCUCUGCGCAUAUGCAUCCUGGUGUGCAAAUUUUGUCUUCUUGUAAGGACAACAAUAUGACUGAAUCAGGACCUACCCUAAAGGCCUCAUUUUAAUUUAAUCACCUCCUAAAAGGCCUACCUCCAACUAGUCACUUACUAAGAGUUAAGAAACUUCAACAUAUGAUUUUCAAGGGUCACAAUUCAGCCAUAACAAGGGUCUUUCUAUCCGUCAUAAUCAAUGAAAUCACUUCAUGAAAGACUGNNNGGGGGGGGGGGGGGGGGGGGGAUCCUAGAACUGAACCCUGAAGAACUUCAAUAUUUAGAAGGGAAAUUGCCAUCAAAGGGACUGAGAUUACACAUCCAGAGAGACGAUGAGGAGAGUACUGCAUUAGAGACGGCAAGAACAAAUUAUGCUUCAGGUAAGGAGUGGUCAACACUGACAAAUGACACUCAGAGACCGAGGAAAAUGGGACUGAGAUGCUCCCACUGGGUUUGUUCCAAGGAACGGGUCUUGGGAUUUUGACUAAAACUCUUUUAAUGGUGGGAGGGGCAAAACGAGUGGGUUCAAUAUGGAAUGCGAGAUGAAAAUAGAGACGAGAAAUGUGUCUCUCUCCAUAUUUAAUUUUUUAUCAUAAAAACCAUAAUUUUUAUAAUAACGAAAAGAAUCAAGUAAAGAAAGAAGAUCUGAUAAUUGACUCAACAAGGCCUUGAGAAAGCAGGUGAGGAUGGGAUCCAGAGUACAAGCAGAGGGGUUGGCUUUUGAUAACAGAAAAUCAUCUUUUUGUCUUGUAACAGAAGGAAAAAAAAAAAAAAAGGAAAGAGCUACAGAUGGUAGUAAUUUUAUAGGCUUGAUGGUAGGAAAUGAGCUAUGCCUCUGAUUGUUUCCAUUUUCCAGAGAGGUUUGAUACAGUGUCAUCAGCCAAGAGGGAGGGUGGGAAAAGUACUACAGGUGAGAAUUGAGGAGAAAGGAUGGUACCCAGAAGCUUGGAAUACCUGUCUAUGGAUGGCACUUAGUCGUCGUUCCCACCACCGCCCUGCCACUCUGUUCUACAACUUUGUGGGCUGCUUCUUUAUAUGCAGCGCCUACCUGCUUCCCUGCGGGGCACUGAUCCAAUGCAAAUUGUUCUUUGGGGCCAAGUAGAGAGAAAAGCUUGAUUGAGAGCCUUUAAAACAAGCAAGGUAAUAAAAGGGGGAAAUUUUUAACUUUUAUUAUAUUCAAAACCAGUAACUUCAAAAGCAAUUAAAUUGAAAACCACAUUUAUUGAGUUAACAAAUCAUGAGUUAAAAACAAUUUAACUUUUAAAGACUUUCAUUGAGUUCGAAAAAUAGUGAAACUACUUUAUUAAUUUAAUUGUUUUGAAGUCAGUGUUUUGGAACCCAAUAAAAGUGUUUUUAUUACUUUCAUUUUCCCAAGCUUUCUUCCAAACCCAGUCCAAUCCCCUUUGCCAGCGGAGCUGGCCCAACUGUAAACAGGGCAGAUGCUACAUAUGAGAAAGAUAUUUCUCACGUCCUUUUCUGACAUUUAAGUUGUUUUUCUAUCCUCUCCUCCAAAAGUCUGUUUCUUCUCGGUCAGUUUAUUUUGACCUCUGUCCUAUGCCACACGUGUAUGUGCAUGUGAGUGUUUGUGCGUGGGUAUUACUGUGUCAGCUGUUAUACGUAUUAGUCGGGGUCCAGUCAAGUGACACGCAGAAAUCAUACGAGCACUUUCCAUUACGAAAAGUGUAAUAUAAAGAAUUGCUAGGUUGUUAAACAUGGUUAAUUACUAAGCAAGGUCAAAGAGGACCCUAGUGAUGAAGAAGAUGGACCGAGGAAGGAACUCAGAAGCGGCUCUCCCCAAGGCUGGGUUCAGACCUCUGAUGGGAGCACUAUGACUACGACAGGAACAUAAGCACCAGUGGGGAAAAGCUGCAGCUGAAUCUCAGGGCCACUGAGUGAAUCCCUGCGAGGAGCAGAAACCAGCUGGACAGCACAGGCCACAGGUGAAAUGAGAAGGCUGCCACUGUACUGGCAGAGGACCAUGCCAGCAGACGUGGGGCACUGCUGCAUAGUGACGUCUUCUAAGGUCAAGGCUACCAACGUCCCUGACCCUAACCCCAAUGGAAAACAGCACACAGAGACAAAGAGGCUUCUUCCUCCUUCUCUAGCCUGGCAGCAUUCCUCUAGCGCCCUCUAUUGGUAAAACCUAACAACAAGCCUGCUGGCCAAGAACAGACAUCAUCACAGUCCAGCUUCAGUAUCAGAAAGGAAGGCAAAGAAGUGUGGGUUCAGAGAUGAGAGAAAAGCAAUGAAUAACUAACUAUCACAUUAAACUACCAUCUCUCGGCUGCAGGCUCACUCUGCAAUCCUCUUGUUCCCUGGGGGCUGGGACGGCAUCCUCCUCUGUAAGAUGACAUACAGAUCAAAGAUUCUCAGAAAACAAAAGACAGUCUCUUCUCACGUCCCCCAACCUCCAUUUAAAUAUGGGGAAGACUGAUAUUUAGGUAAAGUGACAAUCUCCAACAUCUCAUGGUUGGUUAUUAGGACAGCAGAUUUUCUGAUCCCUGGCGCUAUGGUCUUUCCAAUGAUCCUCUUACGCCUGUAGUGAGUCAACAUUUAGAAAAUACCACCUAAUAUGCUUAUGCUCCUUUGUCAAUAUGACUAGUUCUUUCCAUCAUCCACUUAGGACAGUAAAUCUAACUUUUACAAAGAGGUAUAAUACACACUUCUAAAUCUUUUAGGAAAUGGCUAAUAGUUGCAAGGAGAGCUGUCAACGCAGUUUUUUAUUUUUACCAUUUUUUGUCUUUUUGCCUUUUUGCCAUUUCUAGGGCUGCUCCCGUGGCAUGUGGAGGUUUCCAGGCUAGGGGUCUAAUUGGAGCUAUAGCCGGCGGCCUACACCACAGCCACAGCAACACAGGAUCCAAGCCGCGUCUGCAACCUACACCACAGUUCACAGCAACACCAGAUCCUUAACCCACUGAGCGAGGCCAGGGAUAGAACCCGCAACCUCCUGGUUCCUAGUUGGAUUCGUUAGCCACUGCACCACGACAGGAACUCCUGUCUUGGAGUUCUCAUCAUGGCUCAGUGGAAAUGAAUCUGACUAGCAUCCAUAAGGACACAGGUUUGAUCCCUGGCCUCACUCAGUGUAUUAAGGAUCUGGCUUUGCUGUGGCUUUGGUCUAAGCUGGCACAGCUACAGCUCCGAUUGGACCCCUAGCCUAGGAACCUCCAUAUGCCAUGGGUUGGCCCAGCACCUAACACUGGUCACUCUGCUUGCAAAAGUAAACUUUAUCCUGGUUGGUGACUAGGAGGUGACGUUGAUGUUUGCCACUGUGUUCCUCCUCCAGGCGUUUCAAAGUGUUCCAAUAACCAGGAGAGAAACACAGACAGAGGCUAAGAUUCGUGGCUUCAGCAGGCCUGUCUGCAAAAAGCAACAGAAUUUGCUGAGGAAAGCUACUUCUAGCGCUCAUUAGCAGAGAGACAAAAGUGAUACACUGCCUUGAUAAAACAGCCAGGAUGAAAGCCUGCCUAGAGGGGUUUCUGAAUCCCCAGAAGCAGCUGAUCUGAGCCAAACAAACGGGCAGUAGGGAAGCAAGCCAAGGUGACAGAAUUUCAUACAGAGGCUGCUCUGUGCUCUCCCCAGGAAGACUCAGUCGGUCAGGGCCUUUGGUUCUACACAGACAAUGGAACCAGAUGUCUGGUUGGGGUGGGGAGGGUUUCCUUUGCAGUAAGAACGAGGUGCAUCCUGGUGGAAGGGGAGAACCCUGGCCAAGUCCUCCAUCUCCCCUGCCCGUAAGGAAUCCAGGUUUUCCCGAGGUCUUUGUGUUCAGGAGGCCUUUAUAGAAAAAGCAAGGGUUUUAGAAUUUAGACAGACCUAGAUUCAAGUCUAGCCUCUAUGAAUGAUUUAAUCGCUCAGAAUUCAAUUCUUUGUGAAUAAAAUGAAACUACCAGUGCCUACUUGGAGAUUUAUAGGGAGAUUAAAUAAGAUAUGGAAGCAAAGCACCAAGGUCCACGCCUGGUCUAACAAUGCUUGGUGUGGUGUAUCGAUCACUAGUUGAUGCUACUGGUACUACUACUCUACUACUAACUAUUCUCAAUUUUUAAAAGCCCCUUUCUUUUUCCUGUUGGUGUUUUUUUGGCUGCACUCACACGUGCAGAAGUUCCCAGUCCAGGCAUCAAACCUGUGCCACAGCAGCAACAACACUGGAUCCUUAACCCACUGAGUCCUUCGGGAACUCCUAAAAGUCCCCUUCUAAAGGAAGAAUCACGAAAAAGCCAGCUUAUGGAGCAGGUUGUCUAAUAUCAAGGACCAGAGAACACACACAUAAACCACCAUCAUCCUCCCACCCCACACACCUCUCCAUGGCCACCUCCCAACCCUUAAGCAUGAUAGACAGAGGAGCGCCCGCUGUGGUGCAAUGGGUUAAAAAUCUGACUGCCGCAGCUUGUGUCGCUGCAGAGGCGCGGGUUCAACCCCCUGGCCCCACGCAAUGGGUUUAAAGGAUCCAGUGUUGCUGCACCUGUGGCACAGGUCACAGCUGUGGCUCACAUUCAACCCCUGGCCCAGGAACUUCCAUAUGCCACAGUGUGGUCAUUAAAAGGGGGGGGGGGUUCCUCUUGUAAUUCAGCAGUAAUGAACCCAACCAGCAUGCAUGAGGACAUGGGUUCACUCCCUGUCCUUGCUCAGUGGGUUAAGGAUCCAGCAUUGCCAUGAGCUGUGGUGUAGGUCACAGAUGUGGCUUGGAUCUCGCAUUGCUGUGGCUGGCAGCUGCAGCUCUAAUUUGAUCACUAGCCUGAGAACUUC
rnacentral:lncRNA from 1 species